rnacentral:rRNA from 1 species
UACGAAGGGGGCUAGCGUUGUUCGGAAUUACUGGGCGUAAAGCGCACGUAGGCGGAUAUUUAAGUCAGGGGUGAAAUCCCAGAGCUCAACUCUGGAACUGCCUUUGAUACUGGGUAUCUCGAGUAUGGAAGAGGUGAGUGGAAUUCCGAGUGUAGAGGUGAAAUUCGUAGAUAUUCGGAGGAACACCAGUGGGCGAAGGCGGCUCACUGGUCCG